rfam:Citrus clementina cultivar Clemenules unplaced genomic scaffold scaffold_3, whole genome shotgun sequence.
AUACUUUUCUCGGCCUGUUUGCGAAGAUCAAGUGUAGCAUCUCAGAUACUGUAUCUGUUCUUAUCAGUUUAAUAUCUGAUAUGUGAGCCAAAGGCUCACACGAUAUUAAAUUAACCAUUUUAAGGCGGAGAGCUCGCUGCGGGAGCUUGCUACCGGGGCUCUCGAGCGUCGCCCUUGCGUUGCACCACUGCAAGGGCCUGGCGCACCCCAC